rnacentral:lncRNA from 1 species
GCUACAAUAAUACUUUAUUCAAAAAUCAAAACACUGAAGUAGUGAAGAAGAUCAAAAUUGUUGUUAUUACAAGUGUGAAUAUAUUACACAAGUCACCUGAAAGUACUUUUAAAAGGAAAACAAAGUCAACAUAUGAACUUUUAACAAAUAUAAUCAGAAAUUAUAUACUGUCAAAACUUUCUACAAACGAUGACUACUGACUCAACUAUGGAUCUGUCCUUAUUUUCUUUCUUUCUUUUGGUUAUACAUAAAAUAAUUAAGAACAAACACACAAAAAAUAAAUAAUAAUAAUAAUAUAACAAUAAUAAAGUCUAAAGAUCAUAUAUCAUGUGAAGCUAAACGCUAAAAGCCACCUCGAAACAGAGAAAAUGGAUAAGGCGGUGUUGUUGGUGGAUUUGACUCUACCACUCCUCCAAACGUCGCCGUUUCUUUAUACCUUCUUUCUCCCUGAAUACUCCCACAUCCUCCUCCUCCUCCUCCGUUAACACUCUCCGGCAAAGAAAACGUCGACGUCAAAGAUGAUGACGUCGACGACGUUGAAUUCGAGAGCAUCGACUUCGCCACCAAACCCGUCUCGUAACUACCAAACUGUCCUUGCGUCAUAGGAACAAUCCACCCAUCCGGUGAAUGAUUCCGGUAAAGAUUCUCCGUUGAUGACGGCGACGGUGUUGAUGAUGACAUAACCCUAAAGACCCUCCCUUCAUCUUCUUCCACUUCUUCUUCCUCUGACUUCACCGUCGACAUCGUGACACGACGCUUCUUCUUGUCGGAAACUUGUUGUUGUUGCUUUGUCCGUUCUUUCUCGAGCAUCAUUCUUGGAAGAAGAUCAGGAUCUUCAACGACUUUGUAAAGAAACGCCAUCAUCUGCUCCGGUCUCUUCUCCGUCGCUUCGAUCCUCCGGUUCAUCCUCUGAAUCUCUGCCUCUAGCUCCCUCUGCUCUUCUUUUAACCGUUCGAUCUCCCUCACAAUCUCACCGUCCUCCAAAUCUUGACCGUACAUCCCCCGCGCGUGUUUCCUACGCGCUAUGUUAUUCAACAAAUGCUUCUGUCCCCUUAGAAAAUGCUCGUUCGCAAACUCCCACCGGUCCGGAUCCACUUUCCUAAACCCCUAAAGUAAAUAAAGAAAGGAUCAUUAGUUCGUAAUCCCCUGUUUCCAGUUUCAUGUAAGAUUCGUUGCGAGAAGUCGAGUGGAUCAACGACUAUGAAACUGUUGUGAGCAGGUCCCCAAGUGAUGAGCCAAUCGGUGGAAGGAUCAUUGACCAUCUGAUAUGUUUUCACGAUGAAAGAAAUUAAAGAGGAGCCUGGAGGGUUUAUAUAAAGAUAGGAAAAUGAGAUGUGAAAAUAGUAAGUUAAGUGUAGUUGACAGUGAGACUAUAUUGACGUGGCUUGCUUUUUGUGAUAACGUGGCGGGUUCGUGUUUUGCCUUUUACGGUGUCACGAGUGAACUGUGGGACCUAUGCAGGUGUGCCUCUAAGCUUUCAGGUCUUUUUUGCCCUUUUUGUUUUGUUUAUAUUUUCUUAUGUCACAAGUUAUGUGAUACAUUUGAAAUAUAUGCAUAUUUAGGCAUUGUUUUUUCUUAAUUAUAAUUUUAAGUCAUAGAUGAUUUAAGCUGCUUGACUAAUUCUAAGGGUAAGCUAGUCCCAAUAUAGAAAGCUUAGUCCAUCGAUUUUUCAACUGGUUUCCGAUCCCGAAUUAGAAGGAUAUCUAUGAUUCAUUUGUAAUUUCUGCACAAACAAAAUUAUUUGUCAUGAUUUCUUUCUAAUUCUUGACAUGAUUUGUUUCUUUCACUUUUUCACAAAAGAACCUCGUCCUCUUCAAAAUACUCCAAAACUCUCAAGAGUGAGAGCAACUUAUAAAAAAAAAACACAUUUGGUGAAACAAACAAAUCUUCUACAAUGAAUAGAGAGG